GAAGAAGAAAGAAAGAAAAGAAUAAAUUGUGAACAAUUUCUGACGGUAGGUGUGCUAAAUGGAAGAAGACAAAAUUCUACCUUACAUUUGAAUCACGUGGUUAGAAGUGAAUGAUUUUUUGGUCUUAAUAAAAGAAAAGCGGAGCUCCUACGGCAUUUGGGGCAGUUCAAAAGCAAAUCAAUUCCCCAAAUUGAAACUUCUAUUUCGUCGAAUGGAUCGAAGGAAGAUUAUGAUAGGUUCAAUAUGUGUCCAUCGCCUUUGUUCUUUAGGUGUUCAAGGCAAUUCUUGAAUGAAUUAGGCUUUUUUUUUAUUUCUACUAUUUUUGGGGUUAUAGCUGGUUUAACUAAAGGGCUCUCAAAAGUGUACGAAUUGAACUAAGCUAUCCAUGCCUUGCGUCUUUUUCUCAAAAAGAAGAGAAAUUUCAAUAUUAAGUUUGCGAUAAGCUCUUUAAUUGCCUGUUUUCGCCACUUGGUCUUUGUGGGUGUUGCUGGAUUUUGUAGAAACAUCAAGUUAAGCUCAUUGAGCAGGUUGUCUUCUCGGAUCCCUACAAAAUGUCACAAUAUAAUCACUGCACAUCUCCUUAUGUAGAUGCUGAUGCAAAGGCAGUUCGCAACAAUAAUGGUUUAAAGAUUGAAGUUGCUGAGCUUAAAUCCAAGUUAUCAUUUCUUUGCUAUAAGGAGAUAUUGAUAUAGGAGGCAGUUAAGCUUACACCCAAUAUACUUUGACCAUUAAGAAACUGAAGACCAAACAAAUCGAGAAACCCUAAGAAAUGAUGAGCUCAGUAGCGAAGCAUGUAUCCACCAUCUUCAAUCGACCGAACGUAGCCUUAUUGAAUCCACUAAGUUGGGAGCAACAACUACAACAAUGGCGGGGCAUACGGGUGAAGGUGCAGAACAACAACCUAGACCAAGCACUGUUCUUGAUGCAGAGGAAAAUGCAGUCCAGCGGAAUGGAACGCCUCAUAAAGCGUGAACAGCUUCACCACAUCAAGAACUCGGAGAAGCGCAUCUUGGCUCGUAAGCUCCUUGAACGUAAACUCCGUUCUCAAGACCUCGCUCGUAAGCUCAAAUCCAUCCUCAUCAAGAAAGUCAGGGGUUUAUAAAGGAGGAUGUUCUAGCAGAGUUUCUUCAUUAACUUUCUGGACUUGGCUGGCUGAUUGCUACUGAAUCACCAUUUUCUUGCACCUUCCUACGUGGACAACACUUUUGAGAAUAAUGUUUUGAUUUCUAUGAGAUUUCUCUCCUUGAUGUAGAAUUUUGGCAAGUGUUAAUAGAAGAUCAUUGCAAGUUUUCUACA